GAUGAACGCUGGCGGCGUGCCUAAUACAUGCAAGUCGAACGAACAGACGAGGAGCUUGCUCCUCUGACGUUAGCGGCGGACGUGUGUGUCACACGUGGAACCUUCCCCUUUACGACGGGUAAAUCUUCGGAAAACCGGCUCAUAUCCCAUAUAAUCUAUUGAUCCGUGUGGUUCAUUUGUAAAAGGCGGCUUUUCUGUCACUAAUCGCAGCUUCCGCGCGGUAUUUGCUUGUUGGUAAGGUAACGGCUUACCACGGCAACGCUGCGUAGCCGACCGGAGGGGGGGAUGGGCAAACCUGGAACGGAGACACGGUCCAGACUCCUACGGGAGGCAGCAGUAGGGAAUGUUCGGAAAUGGGCGAAAGCCUGACGGAGCAACGCGGCGUGAGUGAGGAAGGUCUUCGGAUCGUAAAACUCUGUUAUUAGGGAAGAACAAAUGUGGAAGGAACUAUGCACGUCGUGACGGUACCUAAUCAGAAAGCCACGGCUAACUACGUG
rnacentral:rRNA from 1 species